AACGACUCUCGGCAACGGAUAUCUCGGCUCUCGCAUCGAUGAAGAACGUAGCGAAAUGCGAUACUUGGUGUGAAUUGCAGAAUCCCGCGAACCAUCGAGUCUUUGAACGCAAGUUGCGCCCGAAGCAAUCCCGCCGAGGGCACGUCUGCCUGGGUGUCACAC
rnacentral:rRNA from 1 species